GAACAUCUGUUUAAGCCUGUCUAGAUCUUUUAUCAGUCUAGAAAGAUGUUGGAGAAAAGACAUCAUCCUCUUCUAUAAUCUCCAUCUGUAAUUGGACUAACUGGACCAGUGAAUGCAGGCAACUUACUCUCCAUUCGACCUUGCAGGUCACACCAUGGUCUCAAGAGGGAAAAUGAGUGCUCUAUGGAUUGAACAGAAAAGGAGAAUCAAAACUCCAACCAUCUGUAUGAGGGUCUGGAUGGAUAAAGGAUGCCCACUGGAGCUGGAAAUGAUGGAUCAGGUGGAUCCACACUUGAACCAUCUGUAUGAUGAUCUGCACCCACUGGAUCUGUAAAUGGUGGAGCAGGUUUCUGAAUUGAUGUCAGAUGCAAAGCAGAAGUUUAUUUUCUUCCAGUUUGGCUUCAUUGUGAAAAAUGCUGGAAACUAAAAUGCAGAAUUCUGGCCUGGUGUUUGGUCCACCCUUUCUCUGGCUUGUGUCUCCGUCUCCAUCAUCAUUAUACUCUUGUCAGUGUUAUAGUAUUGUCGUCUGCGUACCAGGACUUUGUUUCUCAGCUGUCCCUUCUCCUUCAAGCUACAUUUUUGUCAAGCUGCAACAAGUUGGAAUACAUAAUUAUUAACGUUUAAGGAUUUUGAUGUAUGAAAUAUGUAACAAAAGCAAAAAAUGUACAGACAUUCUAUUAAGAAAUUACCUUUUUGUUGUUUGUUUACUGACCUUUCAACCAUAUUGCAUUUAAAAUUGAUCAUCAUACCUUUGGUCUACUGUUAACAGACUACUGUAGAAAACUUUGAAUAAAGUAAAAAAAAAGAGAAAAAAUUAUAAAUGCUGAAUGUGUCUCAUCUUAAAUACAUUGUUGUUGUUUUUUUCAUUGAAUUUGGAUGUUUUGAUGAUUUAAGGAAAAUUUACGUAGCAUAUAUAUUGAUGUUUUAAUUCAGAGUUUGUUAAUGACACUUAAUCAUUAACAAACAUUUAAAAAGGUUUAUUACAAUACUAAUUGAUAAUAUUAAAUUAAUGUAAUAAUCUUGUUUUGUUACACCCUAAAUCACUGAGCGCACAAACGCUACCCCAGUUACAAGCAUGGGUGGUUGACUUCAUGCAGACAUGCGCAGACAUCGAAGUACCGCGAGAGUGAUUCAAAAGCCCACGAAACAGUGUAAUCACGCGGUACUGUGACGUCAUACUGGUUAACGCUAAGCCACGUGAAGCCGGACACAAGGGCUGCACUAAUCUUUGGGCUGGAGUAGCCUGUGGCUUACGUGUCUCGUCGCAGAACGAUUUAUUUCUCUUUUUCACCUCGAUCUUUGGCCUCUUGUGAUUUAACAAAACCAACAUGUGAAGUUACAACGCUGACGAAGGAGUUUAAUCAGUAACGUUAGAGUGUGUCCUGGUAAACGUGUGCUUGGAAACAUGCAGAUUACAGUAUUUACAGAGCCGACCUUGAGGCUAUUUUUUUUGCAUGACAUCCACUGAUGGAUAAUCUGUUUACCUAAAAACAGCACUUCAGGAGAAACCUGCCUGUGAUCUGCUAAGAUGCACAGAUUCAACUCUGGCCCAUUGUCAUCCCAACACCUUAUCUGCCAUCAGUUUCGUUUAGUGUCGAUCUAUUGCAAAAGUUCUUAUAAACUUUAAAUGAGACUUUGUGUUAAGCAGGGGUUUCCAAACUUUUAAUUUCACAACAUAUUAAGCCCAGGAUACACAGCAGGAUUUUUGCAAUCCAAUAGACCUUAUCACACUGUGUGACAAGAAUUGUUUAAACUUUAGCAGUAGACUGUCGAUGAAGACACCUAUUGCAUCUGAGGCUGCGACAUCCGUCAUCAGCAUGCGCUAGUGGUAAACAAAUACAGGUAUGCAGGUCGUAGAAGCAAACACGUUGUUGAUGUGCGUUGAUCAUGCUGAACUUCUUACACUGUCAUAAAACUAUCGUAGGUGUCUUUGGUCCCAGGACUGGGAAAAGAGGUCCACCAAUUAAGAGCCACGAUCACAGAAAUCUCCACGAUUGUUUCACGAUUGGUAAUCUUUCAUCUGGGACAGCCAAAAAUCGUGCCGUGUAUUAUGGGCUUUAGACAUGUGUAAUCUUAUAGUAUAUCAAAACCAUUGCUAAUAAUUAAUUGGACAAACCAUCACUACAAUGCAACACUCGCUAUCUUACGGUGCGACCCACAAGUGGGUCUUCACCCACAGCUUAAAAACCCUGAGUAUGAGUAAGAGUAUGUUGUAUUGUAAUUAAAGUCACAUCUAAGUGUUA